rnacentral:rRNA from 1 species
GAGAGGACCGGGGUGAACGAACCACUGGUGGAUCUGUUGUGGCGCCAGCCGCAGUGCAGAGUAGCUACGUUCGGACAGGAUAACCGCUGAAAGCAUCUAAGCGGGAAGCCCCCCUCGAAACAAGGUCUCCCUUGAGGGCCGUGGUAGACCACCACGUCGAUAGGUCGGAGAUGUAAGUGCAGCAAUGCAUUCAGUUGACCGAUACUAAUUGCCCGAUAGGCUUGAUUUGAUCCAG